AAGUCGUAACAAGGUAUCCGUAGGUGAACCUGCGGAUGGAUCAUUAUCAACGUUAUCCACGUAUAAACCAAUCUAAUGCGAACCGUUUGUAUGCCUUUCGGACACUCGAACCGUUGAAGCGAUUUGACACAGUAGAGGAGAUGAAAGCGUAUAAUUACUUCAAUCUAUAUUAACCAAUCGAACCAUUUCUAACGAAAUUGUUUUUAUUUUUCUUUGUGUGAACUGAAUUGUUUCUUACUCUCUCGAAAGGGCAGAGAAGAAAUCUAUUUACGAAACUAAAAGUAAAAAGAACAACUCUUAGCAACGGAUAUCUUGGUUCUC
rnacentral:misc_RNA from 1 species